rnacentral:rRNA from 1 species
AGUGAACGCUGGCGGUAGGCCUAACACAUGCAAGUCGAACGGCAGCACAGUAAGAGCUUGCUCUUACGGGUGGCGAGUGGCGGACGGGUGAGGAAUACAUCGGAAUCUACUUUUUCGUGGGGGAUAACGUAGGGAAACUUACGCUAAUACCGCAUACGACCUACGGGUGAAAGCAGGGGAUCUUCGGACCUUGCGCGAUUGAAUGAGCCGAUGUCGGAUUAACUAGUUGGCGGGGUAAAGGCCCACCAAGGCGACGAUCCGUAGCUGGUCUGAGAGGAUGAACGGCCCAACUGGAAAUGGAAAAAGGUCCAGAAUCCUAAGGGAGGGCGGAGGUGGGAAUGUUUGGAAAUGGGGGGAAGCCUGAAGCAGCCAAGCCGGGGGGGGGAAGAAGGGCCUUGGGUUGUAAAACCCUGUUUUUAGGGAAGAAAAAACGGCGGAGUAACCCCCCGCGUUUUGAAGGGACCCAAAAAGAAAGCCACGGCUAAAUUUGGG